CAGAUCCCUAUGGGAUGCAGCAGGCGCGAAAACUUCACACUGCAGGAAACUGUGAUGAGGGAACUCCAAGUGACUGCACAUUGUGUAGCCUUUUCUUUACUAUUAAUCGGUAUUGGAAUAAGGGCUGGGAAAGACCGGUGCCAGCCGCCGCGGUAAUACCGGCAGCUCAAGUGGUAGCCGCGAUUAUUGGGCCUAAAACGUUCGUAGCCGGAUAAGUAAGUCUUUGGUUAAAUCCUGCGACUCAACCGUGGGAAUUCUAGAGAUACUGCUUGUCUUGAGACCGGGAGAGGUUGGAGGUACUCCCAGGGUAGGGGUGAAAUCCUGUAAUCCUAGGGGGACCACCUGUGGCGAAGGCGUCCAACUGGAACGGGUCUGACGGUGAGGGACGAAACCUAGGGGAGCGAGCCGGAUUAGAUACCCGGGUAGUCCUAGGCGUAAAUGAUGCGAGUUAAGUGUGGGGGCAUCUACGAGAUGGCCCUGUGCUGUAGGGUAGCCGUUAAACUCGCUGCCUGGGGAGUACGGUCGCAAGGCUGAAACUUAAAGGAAUUGGCGGGGGAGCACUGC
rnacentral:rRNA from 1 species